rnacentral:rRNA from 1 species
UAACACAUGCAAGUCGAACGGAAAGGCCUCUUCGGAGGUACUCGAGUGGCGAACGGGUGAGUAACACGUGGCAAUCUGCCCUGCACUUCGGGAUAAGCCUGGGAAACUGGGUCUAAUACCGGAUAGGACCUCAAGACGCAUGUCUUCUGGUGGAAAGCUUUUGCGGUGUGGGAUGGCCCGCGGCCUAUCAGCUUGUUGGUGGGGUGACGGCCUACCAAGGCGACGACGGGUAGCCGGCCUGAGAGGGUGUCCGGCCACACUGGGACUGAGAUACGGCCCAGACUCCUACGGGAGGCAGCAGUGGGGAAUAUUGCACAAUGGGCGCAAGCCUGAUGCAGCGACGCCGCGUGGGGGAUGACGGCCUUCGGGUUGUAAACCUCUUUCACCAUCGACGAAGGUCCGGGUUUUCUCGGAUUGACGGUAGGUGGAGAAGAAGCACCGGCCAACUACGUGCCAGCAGCCGCGGUAAUACGUAGGGUGCGAGCGUUGUCCGGAAUUACUGGGCGUAAAGAGCUCGUAGGUGGUUUGUCGCGUUGUUCGUGAAAUCUCACGGCUUAACUGUGAGCGUGCGGGCGAUACGGGCAGACUAGAGUACUGCAGGGGAGACUGGAAUUCCUGGUGUAGCGGUGGAAUGCGCAGAUAUCAGGAGGAACACCGGUGGCGAAGGCGGGUCUCUGGGCAGUAACUGACGCUGAGGAGCGAAAGCGUGGGGAGCGAACAGGAUUAGAUACCCUGGUAGUCCACGCCGUAAACGGUGGGUACUAGGUGUGGGUUUCCUUCCUUGGGAUCCGUGCCGUAGCUAACGCAUUAAGUACCCCGCCUGGGGAGUACGGCCGCAAGGCUAAAACUCAAAGGAAUUGACGGGGGCCCGCACAAGCGGCGGAGCAUGUGGAUUAAU